rnacentral:misc_RNA from 1 species
CGGAGUUCAGUCUUCCCAGGCCCACCACUUUCAUCGAGUGAGCAUUCGUCUUCUGGUUACGGGGCCAUAGCUCAGCUGGGAGAGCGCGUGCUUUGCAAGCAUGAGGUCGUCGGUUCGAUCCCGUCUGGCUCCACCAGAUGGUUUGAUCACCUGCGACUGACCGUCGUCCGCGAAACAUCACUUCGCAUUCACUAGUCUGGAUAGACAGUGAACUGCGUGUUUUCUGACAUCGUAAAGAGGAGAUCGAUCCGAGUUGGGUCGUGCAGCAGAUUGUUGCGCGGAUCCUUCAUUAUCUCCGGAUCAUUUUCGGCGCUCGCUUUCAGCCGUGAGGCUGAACGCGAGUUGUAAAAUGAUCCUUUUAGCGAAGCUUGACCGCCUCGCUAUCGGAACGAUCUUACGAAGCAAGCUGGUCUUUCUAGUCAAUGUCCGGCUGUGAGAAUAGCGCUCGUCGAGGGCGCGUGCCGCAAGGCGGUUCUUACAGGCAGCAUUCUGCCGAGUGUGUGGACAUUGAUAAUGAGAGCAAUCAAGUGCCUUAAGGGUGUUCGGUGGAUGCCUUGGCGCUGAGAGGCGAUGAAGGACGUGCUACGCUGCGAUAAGCCGUGGGGAGCUGCGAAGAAGCUUUGAUCCGCGGAUUUCC